UUCAGCCUUAGGGAGGCUGCAUUUUGGAGCUGGGACUCAGCUGAUUGUCAUACCUGGUGAGUAGGUUUCUUUCUACUCCAGGGAAACAUUACCAUGAAGAAAUCUAAAAGGGAGACAAAUUAAUUUCAUUAUCGCCAAAAAAAAAAAAAAAGAAUUUUUCUUAAGUAUUUCUUUGCGUCACUACCUCGGAGGCAGCCCUGGUAUGAUAGAUAAAGCAGAGGGAAGGGCCUAAAAUCGAUGUUAGGAGUCCAUGAAUCUCCAUGAGGAGAAAUAGUGGGUCCUACCAAAGGGAAAAUAGGCAGGCAGUUGUACUAGAAAGGUUUGAAGCAUCCCAAAACAUCUGCUUUGGACCAUGACCUUGGUCCUAUGAUUCUUGGCGGUCUCCCUCUGAGAGGCCCUACUGACUACCAUUUGUGGAUAAAGGUACUCUGUAAACAUCCCCAAGUUUCUCGAUUGCCUUCCCUGGCCCAAUUGCCUUCCCUGGCUGCACCAAUAGAAGAAGGUCUCUAGAAGAAUUAGAAAAAGUCUGGAUCUACACUUUAAUGACAGGGAGUAAAGCUGAGACAGUGCACAGUAGACCCAGGACUAAAGUCUCCCUCUUCUUUGGAGACUUCCUUGGCACCAAGUGAAACGGAGACACUCAGUUAGAAGUGCAUUGUCCAGGACAUUCAGCAUUUCCAUGCUAGAUGAAUAAGCCUGACUCUGAAGGUUCCAGAGUUCUUGGUUCUUUCCUGUGUUAAAACAUAGUCAGACAGGCUCCCCAGUGAGGUUAUGAUUCGGACGCAUUAUCCUUGAAUAUUGAGGUCUAAAUGGCCAAAGCUGAGAAUCAAAUUUGCAAACAUAAAUGUGUGUACAGUGGAGAAGAUGGCUUUACCCUGAAUGUUUGCAGCCCUCCAUCUUUGCAAGCAUAGGGAAGGUCCUUUGCCAAGUAUCUGCUGCGUGUGAUUUCUUUAGUCCUUGUGUUUUUGCUUGGCUUCAGAUCACUGUGUGACUAACAGUGCAGGGAACAAGCUAACUUUUGGAAUCGGAACCAGGGUGCUGGUCAGGCCAGGUAAGUAUUUGGACCUGAACCAUGGCUCUGCUCCCAAACUUGGAAAAGGAGCCUAGCCAUCAGUUUUUAAGUGAAGUAUGAUAGUUUGGCCCAGAUUAAUCUGUAUUAAACUUGGAUUGGAAAAUGUUCUCUUAAGUAAGUGUGGGUAAAUGAAUAGAUGAAGUCAGUACAGAUAAAAGACAUUUCUAUCUUGAUGUAUCCUAGGAUAGAUUUCCUAAAAGAAGCCUCUUACUGUCCCAAGAAUCGGAGAAUGGGGAGGGGGGUAGAGGAAGGGGAGGUGAUUCCAUUGCACAAAGUGGUUAAGUGAUUCGAACAUUUUCACAAUGGCAGGGCAAGGGCCCACAUUUUCUAGGGUUCACUAUACUGCGGUGUGUGCUCAGCUGUAGCCUGUAUAACCAUCAUUCUGAUUUAUUUCCUCUGGCUCUCAUCUUUCCUAAUUAUUAUAACUGAAAUAUUGAUAACCCUUCUCUCCCGGCUCACAGAAUGUGUGUAAGGAUUAAAAAGACAUUGUGCUAUGAAGAGGAGUUGGCUAGAGGGGGCUUCAUUUUAUUUACUUUCUUGGGGAGGGGGAGACUUUUUAUUAGAUUGGAAGAAGGGAUGAGACAGAAGCAGUACUGGAGAGGCAAGAUGCUAAGAUCAAUACAUGAACGUGCACAGCAUAAUUAAGGCAUUCAAUUAGAAGACAAAGGACAGCAAACCCGGUCCAUCCUUUUGAUAACCAUGCCUCCGUGAGCUCUGUUGAGAUGUCUAUAUGUUGGUUCAUGUGGGAAAUGGGCUUCUAGGAUCCAGCUCUGCCUACCCCAGACAACUCCACGAGACUGGGAUGAGAUCAUGUUUGUGAAAUGCCCUUGGGAAGUACAGGCAGUCAGACGAUUCCUGAUUUGUUAAGUUACAUUUUUGGGCAAAAUUCCAUUUGAGGGUAAACCUAAAAGUGAACAAGUCUGAUAGAUCUUGGCUAUGGCUAAGAAAGGCUUGGAUUUGGAAAUAAGGUGAGACUUUCCAGUCGUGAGGGUUAAAAAAAAAUCAUAAAACUUAAUGCCCAAGGCCUUUUCUGGAAAUCUUCAAAACCCUGCAGUCACGUAGUAGACACACAUGCACUUGGGCAAGUGUAUUGAGUGAUUCCCAGGGUUCCCUUCCAUCAGAAAGAGUAUGAGGGUUUAAUAUUUUUCCUGAAAAUAUGUGUUUGGUGUAGGACUAUAUCUGAGCCAAGC
rnacentral:lncRNA from 1 species